rnacentral:rRNA from 1 species
GUGUCAGCAGCCGCGGUAAUACGGAGGGUGCAAGCGUUGUUCGGAAUUAUUGGGCGUAAAGCGCGUGUAGGUGGUCAGGUAAGUCAGAUGUGAAAGCCUUCUGCUUAACAGAAGAAGUGCAUUUGAAACUGCUUGGCUAGAGUACGGGAGAGGAGGGUGGAAUUCCCGGAGUAGAGGUGAAAUUCGUAGAUAUCGGGAGGAACACCAGUGGCGAAGGCGGCUCUCUGGUCUGAUACUGACACUGAGACGCGAAAGCGGGGGGAGCAAACAGGAUUAGAUACCCUGGUAGUCCACGCUGUAAACGAUGGGCACUAGGUGUAGGAGGUAUUGACCCCUUCUGUGCCGAAGCUAACGCAUUAAGUGCCCCGCCUGGGGAGUACGGCCGCAAGGCUAAAACUUAAAUGAAUUGACGGGG